rnacentral:rRNA from 1 species
UAGAGUUUGAUCCUGGCUCAGAUUGAACGCUGGCGGCAGGCUUAACACAUGCAAGUCGAGCGGAAACGAUGGGAGCUUGCUCCCAGGCGUCGAGCGGCGGACGGGUGAGUAACGCGUAGGAAUCUACCCAGUAGUGGGGGAUAGCCCGGGGAAACUCGGAUUAAUACCGCAUACGCCCUACGGGGGAAAGGCCGGGAUCUUCGGACCGGUCGCUAUUGGAUGAGCCUGCGUUGGAUUAGCUAGUUGGUAGGGUAAAGGCCUACCAAGGCGACGAUCCAUAGCUGGUCUGAGAGGGUGAUCAGCCACACUGGAACUGAGACACGGUCCAGACUCCUACGGGAGGCAGCAGUGGGGAAUAUUGGACAAUGGGCGCAAGCCUGAUCCAGCCAUGCCGCGUGUGUGAAGAAGGCUCUAGGGUUGUAAAGCACUUUCAGUAGGGAGGAAGGCCAGAGUGUUAAUAGCGCUUUGGAUUGACGUUACCUACAGAAGCAGCACCGGCUAACUCCGUGCCAGCAGCCGCGGUAAUACGGAGGGUGCAAGCGUUAAUCGGAAUUACUGGGCGUAAAGCGCGCGUAGGCGGUUUGUUAAGUGUGAUGUGAAAGCCCAGGGCUCAACCUUGGAACUGCAUCACAUACUGGCAAGCUAGAGUACUGUAGAGGGGGGUAGAAUUUCA